GAUGCAUCUACAAUUCAUAAAAUUUAAACUUCAUUUGUCAGGUGAAAAAGCCGUGCAAAGAUAAUGCUUUGUGUGCUUGUGCUUUUGCUUUAUUUUGUUGAUAUUUUCGUAUCAGUAACCUUCUUGUUUCUAUGAUAACUUUUGAUUCGCUAAGAAUUUUUUAGUGAGGUCAAGUGCAUUUGGAACCGAAGUACAUCUCAAGCUUUCUAACCAUAGGUGGCUCGUGC
rnacentral:misc_RNA from 1 species